AAUGCAAGUUUUUUAUUACACUCUGUUUGGACAAUAAUCGUCGGCCACUAUAAUGACUUUAUAGUAAAGAAUAACUCAGUGACUGGUGUUUCUGGUGUUACCAGACGAAAUGCCUACGUCGGAAUACUAUUUGAUGGUGCUGUGUGUACUGCUUUACAUCAAAGAUUCGCUGGGGCUGCAAACACUUGGUGUGAACGAUGCUUCCAUUUUUGACGAUAUCAUGCGAGAGGACGGGUAC